rnacentral:rRNA from 1 species
CAGUCGCCGCGGUAAUACGAAGGGUGCAAGCGUUACUCGGAAUUACUGGGCGUAAAGCGUGCGUAGGUGGUGGUUUAAGUCCGUUGUGAAAGCCCUGGGCUCAACCUGGGAAUUGCAGUGGAUACUGGGUCACUAGAGUGUGGUAGAGGAUAGUGGAAUUUCCGGUGUAGCAGUGAAAUGCGUAGAGAUCGGAAGGAACAUCUGUGGCGAAAGCGACUAUCUGGGCCAACACUGACACUGAGGCACGAAAGCGUGGGGAGCAAACAGGAUUAGAUACCCGGGUAGUCCCUGUCUCUUAUAC